rnacentral:rRNA from 1 species
UGUUCUUUAAACCUAAAGAAUUUGGCGGUGUUUUAUUCUAUUCAGAGGAAUCUGCCCCUUAAUCGAUAGUCCACGAUUUAUCUUACUUGAGUUUGUUUGGAAUUUCAGUAUGUAUACCGCCGUUAUAAGUUUAUUUUGUUAGAAAAUGAAUUUACUUAAUUCUUGUUUUUGAAUUAUUUCAGGUCAAGGUGCAGCUUAUAUUUAAGUGGAGGUGGGUUACAAUAUUUAUUAAUAAAAACGGAUUUUAUUUUUAAAAUUUAAAUGAAGGUGGAUUUGAUAGUAAUUUUAGUUAUAAUAUUAUUAUGAUUUGUAGUUCUAAAAUAAGCACACAUCGCCCGAUCGCUCUA